UACGUAGGCAGCGAGCGUUGUUCGGAAUUACUGGGCGUAAAGAGUGUGUAGGCGGCGCUCCAAGUCUGUUGUGAAAUCUCCCGGCUUAACUGGGAGAGUGCAGCGGAAACUAGAGUGCUAGAGGGUGGGAGAGGUAAGCGGAAUUCCUGGUGUAGCGGUGAAAUGCGUAGAUAUCAGGAGGAACACCUGUGGUGUAGACAGCUUACUGGACCGCUUCUGACGCUGAGACACGAAAGCGUGGGUAGCAAACAGG
rnacentral:rRNA from 1 species